rnacentral:rRNA from 1 species
CCUACGGGUGGCAGCAGUGAGGAAUAUUGGUCAAUGGACGAGAGUCUGAACCAGCCAAGUAGCGUGAAGGAUGACUGCCCUAUGGGUUGUAAACUUCUUUUAUAAAGGAAUAAAACGAGGCACGUGUGCCUUUUUGCAUGUACUUUAUGAAUAAGGAUCGGCUACCUCCGUGCCAGCAGCCGCGGUAAUACGGAGGAUCCGAGCGUUAUCCGGAUUUAUUGGGUUUAAAGGGAGCGUAGAUGGGUUGUUAAGUCAGUUGUGAAAGUUUGCGGCUCAACCGUAAAAUUGCAAUUGAUACUGGCAGUCGUGAGUACAGUUGAGGUAGGCGGAAUUCGUGGUGUAGCGGUGAAAUGCUUAGAUAUCACGAAGAACCCCGAUUGCGAAGGCAGCUUACUAAACUGUGACUGACAUUGAUGCUCGAAAGUGUGGGUAUCAAACAGGAUUAGAUACCCGAGUAGUC